rnacentral:lncRNA from 1 species
UCCAAGAUUGAAGAAGCCCUUCAAAAGGAGCAAGAAGAAGGCAAUGGUCAUGAUAUGGAGCGACAGUGACGAGUCGAGUUCAGAUGAGGAGAUCCAAAAUGAAGCUAACUUGUGCUUCAUGACAAAAGAGGAUGAGAUAAAUUCAAAACUUUCUCUAGAGUUUACAUUCGAUGAGCUACAGAAUGCCUUUUAUGAUUUG